rnacentral:rRNA from 1 species
UACAUGAGUGGCAAGCGUUAUCCGUAUUUAUUGGGCGUAAAGGAUGCGUAGAUUGUAAAAGAAGUUAUGACUUACUAUAAUAGAACAAUUAGGUCUUUCAUAAAACCUUUUUACUAGAGUUUUUUUUAAGUAUACGGCAUUUGUAAAUUAGUGAUAAAAUACUUUGAAUUUACAAGUAUCCCCUAUGGUGUAAACAGUAUACUGAUUAAAACUGACAUUGAGGCAUUAAAGUAUGGUCAUCUAAUAGGAUUAGACACCCUAGUAGUCCAUACUAUAAACUAUGAGUAUUAAGAUUUUGUAAUCCUAGUUAACACGUAAAUACUCCGCCUGGGCAGUAUAGUCGCAAGGUCGAAACUUAACAGAAUUGGCGGGAAUUUGUUUGAACGGUGGAACAUGUGGUUUAAUACGAUAAUCCGCGUAAAAUCUUACCAAGAUGGUUAAUGUUAUUAAAUCUUCUCUAAUCAGGAUGGUUAUUUUGGUGUUAACACGGUACUGCAUGGCUGUCGUCAGUUCGUGCUUUGAGGCAUAGAAUUAAGUUUUAUAACGAACGAAACUCCUAUAAUUAGUAUUAAUUGAUUUAAAUUUUUUGAAAGUUUUUUUUUAAUUAAACUAACUAAUUAAUUUAGGUUAUUUUUCUAAUUUUUUGAUUUAUUUAGUUUUAAAUAAAUGGGGGUAAGGACUGAAGUCAAGUCAUUAUGGUCUGCGUAUCUUGGGCUACACACGUGUUACAAAGGUAAAGACAAAAAGUUGCUAAAAAGUAAUUUGGAGCAAAUCUUAAAAAAUUACCUUAGUUCAGAUUGUUUUCUGAAACCCGAAAACAUGAAGAUGAAAUCGUUAGUAAUCGUAGAUUAGUACGCUACGGUGAAUGAAAAGUCAAAUUUUGCACACACCGCCCAUCACGCUCUAAGAAUUAAAUUGAUUUGAAGUGUCUUUUCCUCCGGGAAGCUUCUUGGUAAUUAGAUAUUAUUAUAAAUGUUAAUUACAAUUGUUAAUUUACGUAUGAAAAUACACAUACUAAUUUAUUUAGUAUUUUAUUUUAACAUAACAAACGAAAGCUGGGCUAAUAGGACAAUUUAGUUAUUUGAGUGAAGUUG